CCUAAAGGCGUAAUGAAAGUAAAGAUCGUCCUUGCGUCGAUUGAGGGAGGAUGGGCUGUGUUAAGAUACAGCUCCGCACUCCCGGGGCGUCUCAUUCUCAUUACGAGAAGAGGCGCACCUAGAGCGUACACGUUGGGACCCGAAAGAUGGUGAACUAUGCCUGGUCAGGACGAAGUCAGGGGAAACCCUGAUGGAGGUCCGUAGCGAUUCUGACGUGCAAAUCGAUCGUCGGAACUGGGUAUAGGGGCGAAAGACUAAUCGAACCAUCUAGUAGCUGGUUCCAUCCGAAGUUUCCCUCAGGAUAGCUGGCACUCGCGUUAUACGAGUCUCAUCUGGUAAAGCGAAUGAUUAGAGGCCUUGGGGCCGAAACGACCUCAACCUAUUCUCAAACUUUAAAUGGGUGAGAUCUCUGGCUUGCUUGAAUAUAUGAAGCCAUGAGAUUUUUCGGAUCAGAGUGCCAAGUGG
rnacentral:rRNA from 1 species